rnacentral:rRNA from 1 species
GACAGAGGGUGCAAACGUUGUUCGGAAUUACUGGGCGUAAAGCGCGUGUAGGCUGCUUCGCAAGUCGGAUGUGAAAGCCCUGGGCUCAACCCAGGAAGUGCAUUCGAAACUGCAGAGCUGGAGUCCUGGAGAGGAAGGCGGAAUUCUCGGUGUAGAGGUGAAAUUCGUAGAUAUCGAGAGGAACACCGGUGGCGAAGGCGAGUCUCUGGGAUGAUGCUGACGCUGAUGCGCGAAAGCCAGGGGAGCAAACGGG